rnacentral:rRNA from 1 species
AACGGCCGCGGUAUCCUAACCGUGCGAAGGUAGCGUAAUCACUUGUUCUUUAAAUGAGGACUAGUAUGAACGGCUUCACGAAGGCUAUACUGUCUCCCUUAUCUAAUCAGUUAAACUAAUCUCCCCGUGAAGAAGCGGGGAUUCACAUAUAAGACGAGAAGACCCUAUGGAGCUUAAAACACCUCUAAACAUUUGACCUCCACACUACUAUUUUCAGAAAUCUUCACAAAGCCCGUCAUUUUGUUUUAAGUUUUAGGUUGGGGUGACCGCGGAGAAUAACCUAACCUCCACGUAGAAAGAACUUUCUUUUCUAAGCAAAAAGCUACAUCUUUAUGCAUCAACAUAUUGACC